CCUACGUGCGCGCUAUGCGUCAGGUGUGGGCAGAUGUUCGUGGAAGGAGAGGAGAUGUACCUGCAAGGCUCGUCCAUCUGGCACCCGGCGUGUAGACAAGCCGCCAGGACCGAAGAUAAAAACAAGGUGGGUGGCGUUUCCUCGUUUCUCCGGUGGAGGCCGCGUGGCUGUGCGAACGCUUAGCCGGACGCCGGGCU
rnacentral:lncRNA from 1 species